rnacentral:rRNA from 1 species
UACAGAGGGUGCGAGCGUUGUCCGGAAUUACUGGGCGUAAAGGGCGCGUAGGCGGCCCGAUAAGUCGGGGGUGAAAUUCAGCGGCUCAACCGCUGGACUGCCUUCGAGACUGUCAGGCUCGAGCACGGUAGAGGCUGGUGGAAUUCCCGGUGUAGCGGUGGAAUGCGUAGAGAUCGGGAAGAACAUCGGUGGCGAAGGCGGCCAGCUGGGCCGUUGCUGACGCUGAGGCGCGACAGCGUGGGGAGCAAACAGG